AGAUUUCCCAGUCGCUGGGUUGAAAGCGGCGAAAGGGGCGGCGGCAGCAGCAACAAAGCAGGGGGAGAGAGGAGAGGAGAGCUCUUGAAGCGGCGGAUGAGUUGGGGUCAAAAGAAUCGCAUGUGGAAGCGGAAACAAACCCCAAGCGAAGAUCCAAUCGCUGAAAUAAUUACGGCUGAUGAUGCAGUUUUUGUUAGUUUUCAAUCUGAAUGAUUCGAGAUCCUCUCGAGACUCCGCUGCUCGAGCUCUCUCUCUCUCCCUCUCUCUCUCGUCGUCUUCAACCUAGCUCGGCCUCGUGAUGGAUCUGCGCGGUGAUCUGAGUGCCGCUCUGAAGCCUAACUUUUCGUGAUCUGAGACCCUCUGCGUUCUCAGAUUGUCAAACCCCUCCCGGGUAAUCGAACGGAGAGCUCUUGAAGUGGCGGAUGACUCGGGGUCUCAAGGAUCGCAUGAAGGCGAAGAUCUUGGUUUCUGAAUCAAGUAUUUGCCUGAAUGGUUCUAAAGAUCCUCAGGAUUUUGCUGCUCGAGCUCUCUUGUUUAUUGGAUUGUUUGUCGUCUUAGUCGUCGUCAUCUUAGCUUGGUCCGCUGAUGACUUUUGUGGUAUUUAAGUGCAAAGGUGGUGAAACUGUAGGGUAUUUAAGUGCCAUGCAGUCUAUAAAAAAUGGGGGGGAAAAGAAAAAAAAGAAAAAGAAAAAGAAAACAUGUAAAUGCGGAGUUACUGACCCUGGUUUUUCUCAGGCGCUGGGUUGAAACAGCGAGAGGGGAGCAACAGAUGUGAGAGAGCUCUCGAAGCGGUGGAUGAAUUGGGAUCAAAAGAAUCGCGUGUGGAAA